UGCCAACUCCAUCUCUGGGUAGAUUAGUUGCGAGAAACAAUGAAGAAGAAGAAGCAGCAGCAUGCAGAGGCUGCAUACGCCAAACGGAAACGGAAAAGGAAACUGAAACCCUCUGGUUCUGCUCUUCUUAGUCUUGAAGGUUCCGAUUCCAAUUCCAUCUUCGGUUUGUUACUUGCAUCUCUUUCGAAGCACCACCGUCCCCUCAUCAACAAAUGCUUACUCACAAUUCGCCCUUCCCUUCUCUCCCAAUCCUCCUUCACGCCCAUUCUAGCUCUCCUCCCUGCUCUUCUCAGCUCCAACUGCUCCGAAAUCGCGUGCCGCGCCGCCGAUAUCGUAGGCGCUGCCUCGCUCGUCUCCUUGGAGGCGAACGAGCAGGUUGCAUCCGAUUCCCAGGCUCUUAAGGGUUUGAUAUCGCUGUUGGAGAGUCCCAAGAGAAAGGUUCUGUUAUCUGCAUGCAAUGCGGUGUUGGAUUUAUCCGCUACCACCUUCGGCCAACGCCAGCUGCUCAAGUUUUAUGCUUUGGAGAAACUGAUGUUUGUGUUUCUCCAGAUUUUUAAGUGUGUAGAAUCAGUCUCUCUGUGGUCUGAAGGAAAUCGAAGUUUCGGCUCUCUUAAGAUUGGGAUUAAGGAAGAUGAAGUUUCAGCUGGGUUUGUCAGUGCAACUGUUACUCUUAUCAAUACCUGUGAAGUUGAGCAACUGCAAAGUAUCCCAAGAAGCCUUUCUGACGCAUUUCUGAGGCUUUUAAAAGAGUUAUGGACAAAAGUAAGUGAUCAAGUGGUAAUGAAAGCAGCUGUGAAAUAUAAUGAAGGAGGUUACCUUUGUAAAAGCAACAUUGGAGUUAGUAACCUUGCUGAAGCCAUUUUUAGGCUUUCUGCUUAUGCUGGUCAACUUACUGUCUCUAUGCCGUUUGAAGUGAUCAAAGCAGGACUUUUUGGAACAAGUGAGUCUAGUUUUGAAGAUUUUUUAUCAAACUACUGGGAAGUUUCGCCAUUUCUGUUACAGGGGACAGUGAAUGAUCCAGAUGUCUAUGAUAUGUUCAGCCCAUUUAAAAAAUCUUUGAGUUGGACAGGGUGUGCUCCUUCCCUUAUUUCCUCAAUUCUCCAUAGUCUAGUGUCAUGUUUUCCUAUUGCCUCAGAUGAAUUGAACAUCUUCAAUUUUCUCAAUGAGGUGAAAGACAGAUUGGGUUGUCCCAUAAUCUAUAAGCAGGAUAUAAGAGUUGUAAAAGCAGAAUGGCAAUCAAGAAAAGAGAUGCAUUAUUUUCAGGAUUUUCAUCCAGGCUGCAUUAAGGAACCUCAGUAUUUUAUGAUUGAUGAUGUCUUGAAGUGUGUCCAAGCAUAUAAAGAGGGGUAUACUAUUGCCCUGCGUGGUUUGGAGUUUCGUUUUCAGAGCAUUGCUGCUGUUGCAGAAACAUUAGCGCUUAUGUUUGGUCAACCUUCAGUAGGUGCCAAUUUGUACUUAACGCCACCUAAUUCUCAAGGGUUGGCUUGUCACUAUGAUGAUCACUGUGUAUUUGUAUGCCAGAUUUUCGGUUCUAAGCAGUGGACUGUAUUCUCUCAAUCCAGUCAGCUGUUACCACGGUUAUAUGAUGAUCUAAAUGGUUCUGAUAUUGACUAUACUAAAGCUGGAAAAAGGGAGUUCUUUCUCAAGGAGGGUGAUGUGUUGUAUAUUCCCAGAGGUUUUCCUCAUGAAGCUUACACAACCUCUGGAGAUGGUUCUCCUGAGUUUUCUUUGCAUCUUACACUUAGUAUUGAGGUUGAACCUCCUUUUGAGUGGGAAGGAAUAACACAUUUUGCCCUUCAUUGCUGGGGUGAAAACCAGAAAAGACCUUGUUUUGAUGGCUUGAACUCUCUGUCUCACAAACUUCAUCUUGUGUCUGUUAAUCUGUUACAUGUUGCUAUCGGGAUCAUUGGCAAUUUGGAUCCUAGCUUUCGGAAAGCAUGCUUAACUGCUGCAUUUACCUUGCAGCCAGAUGUUUAUAAUAGGAUUUCUCAGUGUCAGAAAAAUUAUUUUUUGCACUUAGUUAAUAAAGUUCGUACUGAAUCUAGAUUCUUGGAAGUGCUGAAUAGCAUAGAGGUUGCAGUUCAGAAAAACGAAGACCCAUUUCAACAAAUUCGAUGGCUUUGGGUUCAUCUGGAAAAUGGGACCAGUGAUGUAUAUAAAAAUAAAUCUUCGAUGAUUGAAGACAUUCUCUCUCUCUGUGACCAACACAAGGAUGAAUUAGAAGCUGCUUUUGUUAAUUUGAUAUCCAGGUUUUGUAGUGAGGUGGUAUUUGAGGAUGUAGUAACUAGGCACAUGCUGCUACUUCAGAAGUAUAGCAAGAUUAGAAAACAAUAUAUUGAUGCCUAUGGUGUGGGAUGUUUAGGAGUUGGAUGAGUUGUUACUCCAUGGUAAUCUGUAUGGUAGACAAGAUCACGAGGAGGAACGUAACCGUCGCUGUCUUAGGUAAUUAAACAGGUACAAACAUACCUGGAUUUCAUGGUGCAUGUGAUCUUGGGCAAUGCCUGAAAUACCUAACUUCCGAGUUGGCAUCACAUCUUGAGAAUAGCUUGUGUGUUGAGAGAGAAGUAGGGAGAGUAUGAGAAGGCAGUAUAGGAGGAAGAUUGAGGAACUCAUCGUGUGAUCACUCUGAAAAUUAAGGUUGCCACCCAUAGGGCAAGUUAUUGCAUUACUUUAAGAAGGCAUUAUAUAGAAGAGCAUGCCAGAGAGGAGAGAGAGUAUGCAAUUAUUGGUUGAGGAGCUGGGGAAACAUGUCUGAACCCUUAUGUGCCCACGGUUCUGUUACUUGUGUUGGACUAGCCUGCCUAUUUUUCUUUCAAUCACCCUUUUUACUCGUUCCUCUCUCAUAUCAUAGUAUAUGGGUUUUUUUUUUUCUUCUCCUGAUAUUACAGUCACAGAGCAGGUAAACAAAGCAAAUCAGUUCAUUUCACGUGCACGUCGCGUGCCAAAAGAAACCAAUCACACUGCUUAUGAUCAAUCCCAUGUUUUGUCGUCAACAAUAAAUACUAGUUGUGAUAUG